rnacentral:rRNA from 1 species
ACGAACGCUGGCGGCGUGCCUAAUACAUGCAAGUAGAACGCUGAAGGAAGGAGCUUGCUCUUUCUGGAUGAGUUGCGAACGGGUGAGUAACGCGUAGGUAACCUGCCUGGUAGCGGGGGAUAACUAUUGGAAACGAUAGCUAAUACCGCAUAAAAUUGAUUAUUGCAUGAUAGUCAAUUAAAAGGUGCAACUGCACCACUACCAGAUGGACCCGCGUUGUAUUAGCUAGUUGGUGGGGUAACGGCUCACCAAGGCGACGAUACAUAGCCGACCUGAGAGGGUGAUCGGCCACACUGGGACUGAGACACGGCCCAGACUCCUACGGGAGGCAGCAGUAGGGAAUCUUCGGCAAUGGACGGAAGUCUGACCGAGCAACGCCGCGUGAGUGAAGAAGGUUUUCGGAUCGUAAAGCUCUGUUGUAAGAGAAGAACGAGUGUGAGAGUGGAAAGUUCACACUGUGACGGUAUCUUACCAGAAAGGGACGGCUAACUACGUG